rnacentral:rRNA from 1 species
AUUGAACGCUGGCGGCAUGCCUAACACAUGCAAGUCGAACGGGGUGUAGCAAUACACCUAGUGGCGGACGGGUGAGGAAUACAUAGGAAUUUGCCUUAGAGUGGGGGAUAACCCGGGGAAACCCGGACUAAUACCGCAUGAUCUCGCAAGAGCAAAGCAGGGGACCGCAAGGCCUUGUGCUCUAAGAGGAGCCUAUGUCUGAUUAGCUAGUUAGCGGGGUAAUGGCCCACCAAGGCGACGAUCAGUAACUGGUCUGAGAGGACGAUCAGUCACACCGGAACUGAGACACGGUCCGGACUCCUACGGGAGGCAGCAGUGGGGAAUAUUGGACAAUGGGCGAAAGCCUGAUCCAGCAAUGCCGCGUGUGUGAAGAAGGCCUUCGGGUUGUAAAGCACUUUAGUCAGGGAAAAAAAGCUCAAACUAAUAUUUUGAGUGUUGACGGUACCUGAAGAAUAAGCACCGGCUAACUCUGUGCCAGCCGCCGCCGUAAGAC